rnacentral:rRNA from 1 species
AUGCAAGACUCUCGCUGCAAGCCAUAUGAAGAAAGUGCUAAUGUUGUUAUCAGUCAGAUUGAGCAGGAUGAGGCUGCUGCCACGGCUAGCAGGGCUUGUGAUGGUACCGAGGCUAAUGUUUCUGACCACCAUCCGAAUGAUGUUCGUUUGGAGUACCAUAUUGUUGAGAGCCCAGUCAUGAUGUUGAGGCUGAUGUUGACUAUGGAGUUAAUGAUCCAUCUAUUGAUAAGAGCAAGCAUUUUUUGCUUCAUUUCUGUGAAUCAGGAUCCUAUUGUUGGUGAUGAGCCUUGUUCGACCAUUGGUGAUGUUCCUUUGAAAGUUAGCAGCAGCAACAUCGGUGGUGUUGCUGUGGAUGUUGCUAAGAUGGCUGAUGUUGAGUACGAGGCUGCCAUAACUGCUGGAGGUGAUGCUUGUGGUGUUCCAUUGAGCAGUGAUCGUGAUGUUGGUAGCAAAGUUGCUAACGAGGAUGUUGAUGCUGCCAGCAUACUUGGUGCCAAAUCGUCUAGUGUUGGUAUUGCUGUGAGUGAUAAUCUUUCUGGUUCAGAAGAAUUGCCGCCGGAAAAUUUCCCGCCUGGAGGGCUUGAUUAUGGUGAUGCAUUGCAAGACGCCGAUGUGUCUAGCAUGGAAGAGGUGCCAACUGAGGAUGAUGAUUUCAUUCUGUCUGUUUCUUAUGGCCCCUUGGCCAAUGAGGCGCUCCUGUUGUCCCAUUAUUUUUUCUUUAAACCCUGGAGGCGCUACUAUAUUGUUGUCCUCACAGGAUGUUUCGUCGUCAAACCCUGA